UCCGGCAGCUAGCUCUCUGCAGCUCUCACAUAGUCGCCCACUGAAGCAAAGCAGGGCUGCGCCUGGUCAGUACCUUUAUGGGAGACCACAUUGGGAAGCUAAGUUGCUGCCGAAA
rfam:Danio rerio chromosome 6 genomic contig CTG531, GRCz11 reference primary assembly.